CAGGAAAUGGAUUACAGGUAUUCGAAAUGCUAAUCAUGGUCUAGAUUCUUCGAACCAGACAUGCCCCUUGAGCAUAUUUGGUUAGUUACAACUAUGAGCUAUGUAAGCAUGGGAUCAGAUUGGUAUAUAUUUGGUUAUAUUGAAAAGUGAAUUUGAGAUGUAUAUAUGGAUAGUUUGGUAUAUAUUUUGUGGAUAUAGUAAUUUGAAACUGUAAACGAAUGAUAUU
rnacentral:lncRNA from 1 species